rnacentral:rRNA from 1 species
AUUGAACGCUGGCGGCAUGCCUUACACAUGCAAGUCGAACGGUAACAGGUCUUCGGAUGCUGACGAGUGGCGAACGGGUGAGUAAUACAUCGGAACGUGCCCGAGAGUGGGGGAUAACGAGGCGAAAGCUUUGCUAAUACCGCAUACGAUCUCAGGAUGAAAGCAGGGGACCGCAAGGCCUUGCGCUCACGGAGCGGCCGAUGGCAGAUUAGGUAGUUGGUGGGAUAAAAGCUUACCAAGCCGACGAUCUGUAGCUGGUCUGAGAGGACGACCGGCCACACUGGGGCUGAGACACGGCCCAGACUCCUACGGGGGGCAGCAGUGGGGAACUUUGGACAAUGGGCGCAAGCCUGAUCCAGCCAUGCCGCGUGCAGGAUGAAGGCCUUCGGGUUGUAAACUGCUUUUGUACGGAACGAAAAGACUCUGGUUAAUACCUGGGGUCCAUGACGGUACCGUAAGAAUAAGCACCGGCUAACUUCGUGCCAGCAGCCGCCGCCGUAA